GUUUUUGUAGUUGAAUACAACAUUGAUUUUUCAGGUCAGAGGUCCUGGUUAGAGUCCGGGCGGAAAUA
rnacentral:tRNA from 1 species